AUUGAACGCUGGCGGCAGGCCUAACACAUGCAAGUCGAACGAGUGGCGGACGGGUGAGUAAUGUCUGGGAAACUGCCUGAUGGAGGGGGAUAACUACUGGAAACGGUAGCUAAUACCGCAUACCAUCAGAUGUGCCCAAAUGGGAUUAGCGAGUCGGUGGGGUAACGGAUCACCAAGGCGACGCUCCCUAGCUGGUCUGAGAGGAUGACCAGCCACACUGGAACGGAGACACGGUCCAGACUCCUACGGGAGGCAGCAGUGGGGAAUAUUACACAAUGGGCGCAAGCCUGAUGCAGCCAUGCCGCGUGUAUGAAGAAGGCCUUCGGGUUGUAAAGUACUUGCAGCGGGGAGGCGUUACCCGCAGAAGAAGCACCGGCUAACUCCGUGCCAGCCGCCGCGGUAAUAC
rnacentral:rRNA from 1 species